GUCUGAGAGAAGACUUAGCCUUAUUUUGUCUGUUGGAAGACAACAGAGAAGCAAAAGAACUUUCAGGAAAUUAGAAUUAAAUUACCUACAAAAAAUCAAUUGUAGACAUGAAAAUAAAAUGCAAGUUCCAUUAAUUCACCACCAACAAACGAUCUACCCACAAACAAUUUUGAUUUUUUUUGUGAAUCUGUGAGUGAAAUGCCACGGCUAUGUACAGCCAAAUUUAGGCCUUUAGGAGACAUGUCAACAAGGAGGAGAAAGAUGAUGGGCGGAAAUUACAACGGACAAAAUAAUGAUGAUCAUCUAUCAAUUCACCUCAGGCUCUAUCGCAGAGGAUGAUUCCCCACAACCACCUAGGAACACUUCCCUCUCCGUGGACCUUGAUGUAACAAUAGGAACCCAUUCAUCAUGGUUGUCUUUGGGCCGUUGGGGCAACAAUGGCUCCAAGCUUAUUGUAGAAGAAAGCCGAAAGGAGAGAAGAAGAUGAUGGGCGGUGGUGGUGUUGGGUUUACCGUGGAAACUUAAGGAAAUUUACCUUCUUUUCUUUCUUUUUUUUUUUUAUUUCUUUGUAAUUGUUAAAUAAUUCAUAAUCAUAGUAAUUCACUAUGUUUUAGUUUAGUUUUUAUUUUUUGUCAAAAAAAAGUUUCGCUUAAUAACAUAAAGUUCGUAAUAUUUAGAUAUAUA